rnacentral:rRNA from 1 species
CUUGACAUCCAGAGAAUUUAGCAGAGAUGCUUUAGUGCCUUCGGGAACUCUGAGACAGGUGCUGCAUGGCUGUCGUCAGCUCGUGUUGUGAAAUGUUGGGUUAAGUCCGCAACGAGCGCAACCCUUAUCCUUUGUUGCCAGCACGUAAUGGUGGGAACUCAAAGGAGACUGCCGGUGAUAAACCGGAGGAAGGUGGGGAUGACGUCAAGUCAUCAUGGCCCUUACGAGUAGGGCUACACACGUGCUACAAUGGCGCAUACAAAGAGAAGCGACCUCGCGAGAGCAAGCGGACCUCAUAAAGUGCGUCGUAGUCCGGAUUGGAGUCUGCAACUCGACUCCAUGAAGUCGGAAUCGCUAGUAAUCGUAAAUCAGAAUGUUACGGUGAAUACGUUCCCGGGCCUUGUACACACCGCCCGUCACACCAUGGGAGUGGGUUGCAAAAGAAGUAGAUAGCUUAACCUUCGGGGGGGCGUUUACCACUUUGUGAUUCAUGACUGGGGUGAAGUCGUAACAAGGUAGGCGUAGUGCU